rnacentral:tRNA from 1 species
CGAAGUAUAGCAUAUAACUAAUGCCUUUUACUUACACUAAAAAUAAAACAAUAGUUUACUUCGCGU